rnacentral:rRNA from 1 species
GAUGAACGCUGGCGGCGUGCCUAAUACAUGCAAGUCGAGCGAACAGACGAGGAGCUUGCUCCUCUGACGUUAGCGGCGGACGGGUGAGUAACACGUGGAUAACCUACCUAUAAGACUGGGAUAACUUCGGGAAACCGGAGCUAAUACCGGAUAAUAUAUUGAACCGCAUGGUUCAAUAGUGAAAGACGGUUUUGCUGUCACUUAUAGAUGGAUCCGCGCAGCAUUAGCUAGUUGGUAAGGUAACGGCUUACCAAGGCAACGAUGCGUAGCCGACCUGAGAGGGUGAUCGGCCACCCUGGAACUGAGACACGGUCCAGACUCCUACGGGAGGCAGCAGUAGGGAAUCUUCCGCAAUGGGCGAAAGCCUGACGGAGCAACGCCGCGUGAGUGAUGAAGGUCUUCGGAUCGUAAAACUCUGUUAUUAGGGAAGAACAAAUGUGUAAGUAACUAUGCACGUCUUGACGGUACCUAAUCAGAAAGCCACGGCUAACUACGUG